rnacentral:lncRNA from 1 species
CAGACUGAUGCUGCUUUUAUGAAGAUGAAAUUAAUUCUCAUUUCACAUAGAGAAAAAUCAGGUCACUGGACUAAAGUGACGUCCCAAAGACCAUAAAGUCAAUAUGUCUUGUCUACUGAACCUAGUGAAACUAAUGUAUAUUAGGUAUAUGCUCUAGCAGAAAGGAGGGUGAAUUGUGCUCCUGUGGACAUCAAGAGGAAAAAACUGAAGAUGCAGGAACAGAGCUAUGAGGACAGAAGGCAAAGAGGGAGAAAGAGAAAAAAUACAAGAGAGAAAUACUAAUACCUUAUACUGGAAAGUUUGUAUUAACCAAGCUAGUUUUCUCUCUUAAUUCCAUUCAAAUCUAUAUUUCCAAUUCAUUUCUCUUUGGGACUAUCAAAAACAAGAUACCAAAUGAAAUAAAGAAAACCUAUUAAAAUGGACA